rnacentral:rRNA from 1 species
CCUACGGGAGGCAGCAGUGGGGUAAUUUUGGACAAUGGGCGCAAGCCUGAUCCAGCAAUGCCGCGUGAGUGAAGAAGGCCUUCGGGUUGUAAAGCUCUUUUGUCAGGGAAGAAACGGUGGGAGCUAAUAUCUCCUACUAAUGACGGUACCUGAAGAAUAAGCACCGGCUAACUACGUGCCAGCAGCCGCGGUAAUACGUAGGGUGCAAGCGUUAAUCGGAAUUACUGGGCGUAAAGCGUGCGCAGGCGGUUUUGUAAGUCUGUCGUGAAAGCCCCGGGCUCAACCUGGGAAUUGCGAUGGAGACUGCAAGGCUUGAAUCUGGCAGAGGGGGGUAGAAUUCCACGUGUAGCAGUGAAAUGCGUAGAGAUGUGGAGGAACACCGAUGGCGAAGGCAGCCCCCUGGGUCAAGAUUGACGCUCAUGCACGAAAGCGUGGGGAGCAAACAGGAUUAGAUACCCUGGUAGUCCACGCCCUAAACGAUGUCUACUAGUUGUCGGGUUUUAAUUAACUUGGUAACGCAGCUAACGCGUGAAGUAGACCGCCUGGGGAGUACGGUCGCAAGNUUAAAACCNGAAGAUGACGNNGNGAGNGCGAGACGACGACGAGGAGGAGG